CCUACGGGUGGCAGCAGUGAGGAAUAUUGGUCAAUGGGCUUACGCCUGAACCAGCCAAGUCGCGUGAGGGAAGACUGCCCUAUGGGUUGUAAACCUCUUUUGUCAGGGAGCAACGCCGGCUACGUGUAGCCGGACUGAUAGUACCUGAAGAAAAAGCAUCGGCAAACUCAGUGCCAGCAGCCGCGGUAAUACGGAGGAUGCGAGCGUAAUCCGGUUUUAUUGGGUUAAAGGGGUGCGUAGGCGGAUUGCCAAGUCAGCGGUAAAGUCGCGGGGCUAAACCUCGCACCGCCGUUGAAACUGGCGUUCUUGAGUGGGCGAGAGGUAUGCGGAA
rnacentral:rRNA from 1 species